rnacentral:rRNA from 1 species
AGAGUUUGAUCCUGGCUCAGGACGAACGCUGGCGGCGCGCCUAACACAUGCAAGUCGAACGAGAGAGAAGGAGCUUGCUUCUUCGAUCGAGUGGCGAACGGGUGAGUAACGCGUGAGGAACCUGCCUCAAAGAGGGGGACAACAGUUGGAAACGACUGCUAAUACCGCAUAAGCCCACGGGUCGGCAUCGACCUGAGGGAAAAGGAGCAAUCCGCUUUGAGAUGGCCUCGCGUCCGAUUAGCUAGUUGGUGAGGUAACGGCCCACCAAGGCGACGAUCGGUAGCCGGACUGAGAGGUUGAACGGCCACAUUGGGACUGAGACACGGCCCAGACUCCUACGGGAGGCAGCAGUGGGGAAUAUUGCACAAUGGGGGAAACCCUGAUGCAGCGACGCCGCGUGGAGGAAGAAGGUCUUCGGAUUGUAAACUCCUGUUGUUGAGGAAGAUAAUGACGGUACUCAACAAGGAAGUGACGGCUAACUACGUGCCAGCAGCCGCGGUAAAACGUAGGUCACAAGCGUUGUCCGGAAUUACUGGGUGUAAAGGGAGCGCAGGCGGGAAGACAAGUUGGAAGUGAAAUCUAUGGGCUCAACCCAUAAACUGCUUUCAAAACUGUUUUUCUUGAGUAGUGCAGAGGUAGGCGGAAUUCCCGGUGUAGCGGUGGAAUGCGUAGAUAUCGGGAGGAACACCAGUGGCGAAGGCGGCCUACUGGGCACCAACUGACGCUGAGGCUCGAAAGUGUGGGUAGCAAACAGGAUUAGAUACCCUGGUAGUCCACACCGUAAACGAUGAUUACUAGGUGUUGGAGGAUUGACCCCUUCAGUGCCGCAGUUAACACAAUAAGUAAUCCACCUGGGGAGUACGACCGCAAGGUUGAAACUCAAAGGAAUUGACGGGGGCCCGCACAAGCAGUGGAGUAUGUGGUUUAAUUCGACGCAACGCGAAGAACCUUACCAAGUCUUGACAUCCCUUGACGAACAUAGAAAUAUGUUUUCUCUUCGGAGCAAGGAGACAGGUGGUGCAUGGUUGUCGUCAGCUCGUGUCGUGAGAUGUUGGGUUAAGUCCCGCAACGAGCGCAACCCUUAUGGUCAGUUACUACGCAAGAGGACUCUGGCCAGACUGCCGUUGACAAAACGGAGGAAGGUGGGGAUGACGUCAAAUCAUCAUGCCCUUUAUGACUUGGGCUACACACGUACUACAGUGGCGUUAAACAAAGAGAAGCAAGACCGC